rnacentral:rRNA from 1 species
GACGAACGCUGGCGGCGUGCUUAACACAUGCAAGUCGAGCGGUAAGGCCCUUUCGGGGGUACACGAGCGGCGAACGGGUGGGUAACACGUGGGUGACCUGCCCUCAGCUCUGGGAUAAGCCUGGGAAACUGGGUCUAAUACCGGAUAUGACUCCAUGACGCAUGUUGUGGGGUGGAAAGCCUUGUGCGGCUGAGGAUGGGCCCGCGGCCUAUCAGCUUGUUGGUGGGGUGAUGGCCUACCAAGGCGACGACGGGUAGCCGGCCUGAGAGGCGACCGGCCACACUGGGACUGAGACACGGCCCAGACUCCUACGGGAGGCAGCAGUGGGGAAUCUUGCGCAAUGGGCGAAAGCCUGACGCAGCGACGCCGCGUGAGGGAUGACGGCCUGUGU